UUACCGGCUUGACAUGAAUGAAAGUCCUCACGGCACAGGUGCUGCAUGGCUGUCGUCAGCUCGUGUCGUGAGAUGUUCGGUUAAGUCCGGCAACGAGCGCAACCCUGUCUUAGUUGCCAGCAUCUGGGACUCUAGGAGACUCCCGGUGUUAACCGGCGGAAGAUGGGGAUGACGUCAAGUCCUCAUGGCCCUUAUGUCGGGCUACACACGUACUACAAUGGGCUACAAGGGGCACCGCGAGGUAAGCAAUCCCAAAAGCGCCUCAGUUCGGAUUGCAGUCUGCAACUCGACUGCAUGAAGUCGGAAUCGCUAGUAAUCGCGAUCAGCAUGCGCGGUGAAUACGUUCCCGGGCCUUGUACACACCGCCCGUCACACCACGAAAGUUGUUGACCGAA
rnacentral:rRNA from 1 species